UUGAUGGGUACUUUACCGGACACUAAAUUUGCAAACUGUAUAUGCGUCUCGCAAAAAGUGUUCCGGUACCAAACCGUAGUUAAAGCAAAAAUUUUAACUGCAAAUAUAAAUUUGCCUUCAGUUUCUUUAUUCAAAAAAUCUGAAGUAUAUAAAGUGCCCAGUGAGUUCCUUGCGACAGUUGAACGUGGAACGUCAAGCAUCAAUAGUGCCGUAAUUUCACUUUUUUUUUUAAAUAAAAUAUAAAUUCAAAAUGAAAGGAUACUUUUUCAUCUUGGCUAUGUUCUUUGCCUUCCUGGCUCUCUCUUCUGCGGGCCCAAUGUCUGCUGAAGAGCCUGAAGUUCUGCUGAAUCGUGUGACCAGGGAGACAUGUGAUCUGCGGUCUUGCGAACAGCUGUGCAAGCGUCUGGGCUUCCCUGGUGGAGCGUGCAUCAACGACAACCAAAAAUGCGACUGCGAUCGCUUCUAGAUACUUUCUUUAAAAUUAUGAUAGCCUGGUACUUUCGGAUUUGGUACUGGUACCUUUUACCUCACGUGACAUUAGAAUGCCUACCGAUUUAUAACGUUUGUAUUCAAGUUUUUAAUUCCAAUUAAUGACAUGCAUAA